rnacentral:rRNA from 1 species
UACGUAGGUGGCAAGCGUUGUCCGGAUUUAUUGGGUUUAAAGGGUGCGUAGGCGGCCCUGUAAGUCAGUGGUGAAAUAUCUCAGCUUAACUGAGAGGGUGCCAUUGAUACUGCGGGGCUUGAGUACAGAUGAGGUAGGCGGAAUUGACGGUGUAGCGGUGAAAUGCAUAGAUAUCGUCAAGAACACCGAUAGCGAAGGCAGCUUACCAAGCUGUAACUGACGCUGAGGCACGAAAUGUGGGGAUCAAACAGGAUUAGAUACCCCCGUAGUCC